UGACUGAGUUAGGGCAUAAUAGAAACGAAAGAGUGAAAAAGACGGGGAGGGAGUGGAUGGUGGUGCUGCUGGGACUGAGUAGAGAAACGAAUGAAAGGAUGAUUGAGGCGGUGAAGGAGUUUCUGGAAAGAAUGUGGUGUGCCAGAUGUACAGAUGGUUAGAGCAAAGGACCCUGUUUCCUUUUUCUUUUUUUUUCCCUUUUUUUUCUGUGCGCCUUUUUUUUGUCUACAGGAGCUGCCGGUCGUCUACAGGAGCUGUCGAUCCAAAGGCCCGGCUCAGGAGUGAUUCCGAGUCGCCUUUAGUAUCAAGAUCAAGAUCAAGAUCUGACAGUCAUCUUGAUCUUGAUCAAGAUCAAGAUCAAGCAUUCUUAAACACUGGCUGUGUGUUUUUGUCUGUUGUCUUUAAAGUUGGUAAAAUGGUGUUCCGUAUCCGAGGAAAGGGGAACACAUAGACAAGACCAGCGAGUGUGUGCUUCACCAUCCACUGCCCCCACCCAAUUCCCUCAGUACUGCCCCUCCACCUGCUGUGCCUCCACCUCAGCAAAGAUGGGGUCAGCAGGAGGAUUGGAGGGCAUGACCUGUCCCUGCUGCAGUCCCUUACAGUGACCUUCUUCACUGGCUGCCAGCUGCUAGGUCACAGACAGGACAUUGCAGUUUUUCUUGAAGCUGCAGGAGGCGAUGGAGUAGGUGAUAGAAUAUUUGAGGGAGACACUAGGCUUGCAUGCAACAUCUCCUCAGGCUAACACCUGUGAUGACCUUGUGAUGUUUGUCAGCAUGCUGGUGGAGUCACAGGAUCAAAAGCCAAGGCCAGCUGAGGACUGGGCGGGCAGACAUGGUGCAAGCCGGGGAAGGGUUCAAUCUCUACUCCUCUGAGGUGCGCCAAGCCAUGAGUGUCUUCUUUGUCCCUGAGGUCAUCAAAAUUCCACUGGAGCAUGUUAUUCUUCAGACCAAGUUGAGGUACACUGCAAAAAGGAAAGCAUUUGCUGUAUUUCAACCAAGGGAACGAGUGUGCUGUCCUGCCUGGGCACCACCGCCAAGUCAUGCUGGCAAGAGACCACAAAAGGAACACAGAGCACCUCACAGCACUGCACAGGAGGAUGAUGGACUUCUCAAUACCACCGCACUUCUCUCUGAGUUGGUGUUCAGGU